UGCGUUUUCUCUCUUUAACUUCUGUGGCUUGUGGCCCUCCAGAUAGAAACCUAGUUUUCUGCUAAUAUAGACAGUCCAGGUAACUUUGGUAUUUCUAAGUACAAUGUUAAAAUAUUAGGGGGAAAUCUGGAAUAGUUUGAAGUUGCUGGGAAUCACAGAGGCCAAACAGCUGGAGGUGUACAUUACAGAAUGUCAAAAAGAAGAUGAAACCUUCAAAAGGGCAGUCAUCAGAGGCCUCACCUCCUGCCUCUUCUUCAGUACCCAGAGCUGCUCCUAUGGGUUUUGAGUGGAUGGGAGAGGACAUUGGAGAAGACCAGGUGGCAGUGGGCAGGGAAAGAAAAGCCGUUUGCGGAGGCCGGAGGUGGCAGCGACUGUAUGGAGCUGAGAGAGGGGCCGGAAGAAGCCCUGGGCCUGGAACUCCAGCAGGACAGGGCGCACUCCCUGGAUGGCUGGCCUCUCUGGGGGAACCAGACGACGGAGAAGCUCAAUUUGGGUGCCCAGUUCUUCAGCCUCUUCUCCUAUCUUCACUCCCUCUCAUCCAGACUCUCAUCUAGAGAUCCUGUCAAAUGCUGUCUAUUCACUGAUGACUCCCAAGUUUUUCCUCCAGCUCGAACCUUUUCUCCCCUGUUCUCCAGACAUGAAGACCCAACUCAACACCUCCACUUAGAUGUCUAAUAGCUUUUGAAAACUUAACAUGUCCAAAAAAGAGAUCAUGAUCACCCCUCCAAAAUUUGCAUCUCUCCAAGAUGCAAUGACAAUUCCAUUUUUCCAGGGGCUCAGGUGGAAGACUGGAUGUCACCCUUGACUGUUCUCUCUCUCUCACCAGGAAAUUGUCAAUUCUUCAAAGUUCUCACAAUGACUUACAAGGUCCUUUGUGAUCUCGUUGCCUGCCUUCCCUCGCUGACCCCAUCUGCUGUCCCUGUUCCCUCACUCACUCCACUCCAGCCACACGUGCCUCCUUCUUCUGAAACAUCUCAGCAUGCCCCAUUUUGCAGUUGCUUUUUCUGGUGCCUGUGCACUUUCCCCCAGAUGUCAAGUUGGCAUGCUUCCUCACCUUUUCCAGGCUUUUGCUUACAUGUUGCCUCAUUAGUGAGAUUUCCCUUGACCGGUCUAUUCAAAAUUGCAACUCCUAUUCCAAGCACUCUCUCCAGCCUCUCUUUUCUCAAUAGCACUUACUAGCGUCUGACAUACCAUAUAUUUUACUUAUGUGUCACUUCUGUACCCGCAGCACCUGGACCACUACUUGUAACAUAGAAGGUGCUGGAAGGGGUUGUGUUAAAUGAAUAAACGAAUGAACAAAUGAAGCAGUCCGGGGCAUGGGGAGC
ensembl:lncRNA